AGAAUUGCUUCUUGUCCCUCAGAUUCUAUGUUACCUGUCCUCGGUCCCCUUGGAAUCUCUUGAGAGAGCCGAGUCCUGUGUGUUCCUAGGCCCUGCCACAGGGACCUGGACGCCCUGCCUGUUGAGGCAAGGUUGUGGAUGUCCCGGGCCUUAUGGUCCCUGCUUCGCAUGAUGUGGGGCAGCAUCCAUCUGAACGCUCAUCACUACCAAGGCCAAGGUUUUGGAAGGAAGUCCUUCUUCUCCCAUCUUAGUAUUAGACCAUCGGAUUUGGGACACGGGACUAAGGCCGCUGACUCUGCAUCCCUUCCAAGCAUACACAGCUGCCUGCCCUUUUGCCUUGUGUCCAUCCUGGAGCGGCCUUCUCCAAGAUUCUAUGUUACCUGUCCUCGGUCCACUUGGAAUCUCUUGAGAGAGCUGAGUCCUGUGUGUUCCUAGGCCCUGCCACAGGGACCUGGACGCCCUGCCUGUUGAGGCAAGGUUGUGGAUGUCCCCGG